GACAGAGGGGGCAAGCGUUGCUCGGAAUUACUGGGCGUAAAGGGCGCGUAGGCGGCCUGUUAAGUCGAACGUGAAAUCCCUGGGCUCAACCCAGGAACUGCGUCCGAUACUGGCAGGCUUGAAUCCGGGAGAGGGAUGCGGAAUUCCAGGUGUAGCGGUGAAAUGCGUAGAUAUCUGGAGGAACACCGGUGGCGAAGGCGGCAUCCUGGACCAAUAUUGACGCUGAGGAGCGAAAGCCAGGGGAGCAAACGGG
rnacentral:rRNA from 1 species